GCUUACGGCCAUACCACCCUGAACGCGCCCGAUCUCGUCCGAUCUCGUCCGAUCUCAUCCGAUCUCGGAAGCUAAGCAGGGUCGGGCCUGGUUAGUACUUGGAUGGGAGACCGCCUGGGAAUACCAGGUGCUGUAAGCC
rnacentral:rRNA from 15 species